UGGCAGUGCCGUACUAGCUGGCUGU
rnacentral:miRNA from 1 species